rnacentral:tmRNA from 1 species
UAAGCUAGUUUGAAGCCGUUAGCCCAGAUGCCGCUCUCGGUCUGGAAUCUAGCGUCGAUAGAGGGCUCUUCAUCGCAUAGGCGUUACGGACUAUGCGAGAGAACAGUUUCGUAACUGAGUUCGUCGAAGAGUUGUGUGGAAAAACUUCGGGACUGAGAAAGCGUUAAUCACACUACGCCCGUAGAAGCCCUGUUUUUGCACCGAAGGACCCGGGUUCGAUUCCCGGCACCUCCACCA